rnacentral:rRNA from 1 species
GAGUUUGAUCCUGGCUCAGAUUGAACGCUGGCGGCAUGCCUAACACAUGCAAGUCGAACGGUAACAGCGAGAGCUUGCUCUCGGCUGACGAGUGGCGGACGGGUGAGUAACGCGUAGGGAUCUGCCUCGCAGCGGGGGACAACCUUAGGAAACUGGGGCUAAUACCGCAUAUACUCUUUGGAGGAAAGGUAGCGUUUGCUAUCACUGCGAGAUGAACCUGCGUUAGAUUAGCUAGUUGGUGGGGUAAAAGCCUACCAAGGCGACGAUCUAUAGCUGGUCUGAGAGGAUGAGCAGCCACACUGGGACUGAGACACGGCCCAGACUCCUACGGGAGGCAGCAGCGGGGAAUAUUGGACAAUGGGGGCAACCCUGAUCCAGCAAUGCCGCGUGUGUGAAGAAGGCCUGCGGGUUGUAAAGCACUUUCGUUGGGGAGGAUGGUGUUUGUGGUUAAUAGCCAUAAACAUUGACGUUACCCAAAUAAGAAGCACCGGCUAACUCUGUGCCAGCAGCCGCGGUAAUACAGAGGGUGCAAGCGUUAAUCGGACUGACUGGGCGUAAAGGGCGUGUAGGCGGCUUUUUAAGUCGGGUGUGAAAUGGCAGGGCUUAACCUUGUCAGGCCACUCGAUACUGGGGAGCUAGAGUGCAGGAGAGGGAAGUGGAAUUUCCGGUGUAGCGGUGAAAUGCGUAGAUAUCGGAAGGAACACCAGUGGCGAAGGCGACUUUCUGGCCUGCAACUGACGCUGAGGCGCGAAAGCGUGGGUAGCGAACAGGAUUAGAUACCCUGGUAGUC